UACAGAGGGGGCAAGCGUUAUUCGGAAUUAUUGGGCGUAAAGGGCGCGUAGGCGGCUUUUCAAGUGACGGGUGAAAGCCCUCGGCUUAACCGAGGAACUGCCUGUCAGACUGGAAGGCUUGAGACCGGGAGAGGUGAGUGGAAUUCCCAGUGUAGCGGUGAAAUGCGUAGAUAUUGGGAGGAACACCAGUGGCGAAGGCGGCUCACUGGACCGGAACUGACGCUGAGGCGCGAAAGCGUGGGGAGCAAACAGG
rnacentral:rRNA from 1 species